UAGCCGCGGUAAUACGGAGGGUGCGAGCGUUAAUCGGAAUUACUGGGCGUAAAGCGCAUGCAGGCGGCCUGUUAAGUCAGAUGUGAAAGCCCGGGGCUUAACCUCGGAAUUGCAUUUGAAACUGGCAGGCUAGAGUCUUGUAGAGGGGGUAGAAUUUCAGGUGUAGCGGUGAAAUGCGUAGAGAUCUGAAGGAAUACCAGUGGCGAAGGCGGCCCCCUGGACAAAGACUGACGCUCAGAUGCGAAAGCGUGGGGAGCAAACAGGAUUAGAUACCCUGGUAG
rnacentral:rRNA from 1 species